UUAUAUUUGCGUUUCAGUGACACGUCUCUGGCAACUGUACGAAAGAUAUUAUCAUCUAACAUUUGUUGAGUACUUAACAAUGUGCUGGGACCCGUGCUAAGAAUUUUGCCUAUGUCAUCUGAUCUCGCCCCAACAAUAAUGCUGUGAAAUGGGUACUAUUAUUUUCAUACUAUUUUUACUGAUGAGGAAAUUAAGGUUUAGAAAGGGCAUGAGCCUGGAGUCAGGAAGAAAGUCUACGGUUACAUGUUACUGUAAUCAUGGAAUUUCUAGAAUUACAAGCAACACAGGCAAUAAUGAUCAUUGACUAGAAGGACAUUUGGAAAAGAAAACCCAGCGUUUGAAAAAGAGUGAGGCAGUUUGAUUCUGUUUCUCUGAGUGAAUAGUGAGACUAAGUGGGGUGUAAGGAUGUUUCAUCCUCAAAAUUUAUUUUUUCUUUCAUUACUAUGUCAGUUUGAAAAAGAAAAUAAAAAAUGGUUGUUGAUCCUGAAGAAACUAAUCCUAGAAUGUGCUACAUCUUUGAGAGUUUGGAAAGAGACAGUUAACAUACAACCCUUCAAAACAGUGGAAUUUGGUAAACCCUGGAACACUGUUCUUGCUGAUCUAAUUCAUGACAUUAAGGCCUUCCUCGGCCUUAUGAGGAAGCAGAUGAAAAUAAUCCUUUUGCGAUGACUAUUUUCCCCCUUUUCUGAUUUAACUCUUCCAUUGCCUAAGACUCACCAAUUCUCAAACUUCUAAAUUCUCCACACUGCCUUAUCUCUGCCAUCCCAUGGCAAGUCCUAAAGCUGCUAACAUUUUGUAACAACUAUGUGACAAAUUGUUGUGCUUUUAUUCAGGUCGGACAUCUUUGCCAGGCUUGCUUGUUGUGUUUUCUGUUUGGCUGUGUCAUGGGACCAAAGGUGCCUGCCUUUGUACAGCAUGUCAAAUCUGGUUAACAUGCAGCCAUUUAUCUUUAAAACCACUCCUGCACAAUGGCAGAGGUGGGCCAAGCCACAGGGCUCUAAGCACAACCCAAUUUUUCAGACCAUCUUUUCUGCAUAUAGGGAGCACGUUGGACAGCAGACAAGACAUUUUGUGAUUUGGGGAAUCUCUUAGAGACAAAUUGUAGAGUGCAAGUGCAGUGUAACUGGACUGCUGGGUGCCCAGUGAAGUGAGGAAAAUCAGAUACAGCACAGGCUGAAAGAAUGAAGCAAGAAUUCAUAUCUCUGUGCAGAACAUGCACAGUACUUUGCUCACACAGAGAGUUCACACAUAGACAAAAGCAUGUUUGCUUGUGGGUUAUUUUCAGGGGAUUCUAUAGCCACAGUCUAGGCGUAUAUAUUUGCACGUAAGCUUUCUUUCUGCAUUUUGUACUGGUAGGUGUGUCUACAUGUGAACAUGUAAACAUGCUUAUAUGAGAAGACAAUUUGCUGUUGCUGAUUUAAGACACGGGAAAGGCCUCCUAGUUCACUGAGGCGUUUCCCUCCUAAUGUAGUAGAAGCAGAAUCUUUUUGUUUUCUACAAUUGUUUUAAUAAAGGACUCUGUGUGUGUUUAAGGAAGACUCAGAGCCAGAGUGUCAAGUGCUGCAGUGAAAAAUACUGAAGAUUUUUCUUUCCAUAAGACAGCUGCAAACUUUAUAACCCAGUUCACUCUGGGUUUUCAUUUCUCAAUUGUUUCAAGGUGUCUUGGGAAUGAUUUGCCCUUAAAUAACUAGUUAUCAACAAAGGAGAAAAAAUAGCAAUAAAAAAUGUGAUAAACCUGCAUAGACUAGUUUAACUAAAAUGAAGAAUUUCCUUGCUUGGAGCAGUUCAAGGACCGAACAUAGCAAAACUGUGUGAUUUAAAUGAAAUAUUCAGAGUGGUCAACAUAAAUACACAUGUAGACAAGAGAUAGUAUAUGUGUGUGUGUAUACACUGAGGUUACUUCUUGAAGAAAUAGGCAUUUUUUCCUUUCUUUUUGCUUUUUCUUUCUUUUCUUUUUCUGAGUAAAGGACCCCAGAGAUUGUCUUUCACUUUGAAAACAAUCUCUAAUAUCAGGAAAAUGCGCUGUUUGUUUAUGCGUACAUAAUGCAAGUUUGUCCGCCUGGGAACUGCAGCAAAUGGGAGAAGUAUGCAUGGAUUUCACAGGUAACAGGAUUACGUGGGCACAUAAUUGAUCCAUUUGGAGAAAAAAAAUGACAGUGCUCUAAAGAUGCCUAGGCUUUGGAGAUGGAGUUUAUGAAACAGGCAUUUGUAAAUUCAAAGGAAUCAAUAUGUCAAUUUUAUUACAUCUCAGAACCAGCUGGGCAUUAAAGGAACAGUAGCCUUAAAAAAAAUUACAGCUGCAUAUUCCUACGUUGUCUACCUUUCUUAAAGGCCCUAGAAUUUAAGGAAAUGAACUUAGAGAUGUGUACCUUUUCAGAAAUGAAUUUACAUUGUCCAAAGAGAACAACAAUUUAACAUUAUGUCAGUUAUCAACCUAAAAAUUUGAUUGAAAUGUCUGCCUUAUCAUUACAAUUGAAGUCUAUUAAUAGAUACAGAUAAUAAGCAGAAUAGUGAUUUUCACAUAGGUUGCACUGUCAAGGAUUCAUUGGAAUUCAUAUUUGCAUUGUGCUUUUCAACAGUCUAGAUUUUACCUCUUCACUGAUGAUAGGACAUA
rnacentral:lncRNA from 1 species